AUUCCUGUUUUAGUACCACCUAUCUGCCUUUUUUUGUCAGAAUGUGUGGUUAUGCUAAUAGGAUAGAGAAACUGCCUGUCAAAGUCUGAAGGGGCAGAUGGCCACACCCACUACCUCUAUAUGUAUUGACAGCACAUCAUAAC
ensembl:snoRNA